AUCGCUAAGGGAGGGAACCCAGAAACAGAAAGCUGGGCCUUCUAGGUUUCUGUUUGCUUUGAAACCACUUAUGGAACAAGAAUUAGGGCCCACAAAUGUGGCCCCUCAGGAAUGACCCCCACCCCCACCUCCCAACUCUAGUUGAGUUACCAAAUGAGGCCAAUUCAUUCUCUGGAAUGUUGCAGCCCAGGCAAUGAUGAUUGAUACUGACAGGGAAGCUUUCAUGUAGCAAUAUCCCCGGCCACCGGCUGUGAGGCAAAGAGAAAGAACUCUCUGGAAUUCACAACAUUCCCCCUCCAAUUAAUCCCCAGCCACCCCGCUGUGUGUGAAUGGGUUGUGCUGGGGAUUCGUAGCUCUGAUGCGGGGGAUUUGCUGAUUCCUUUGAGCCCCCUGAGGAGAGGUGAUAUGGAGAGCAAAUAAUCAGCAUGCAGCACGGAGGCGAGAGAGGACAAAGAGGCUUAGAAAUUCCUAACCAGCACGGGGUCACAGACUGGAAGUGGUAACUGGAGUCUUCAGAAUUCCAUCACCUUCAGUUGCUUGCCUGCUGGAAUGACAUGGAUUCUCAUCCCUGAGGAAGUAAUUCUGGAUUCCUUCUCAUGAUAAUGAAGAUCAGUUACCCUUGACAAGGCAAUAACUCCUUUCUUGCCUAUUGUUUCCUGGUACAAGGAGCUCAAAGUGAACAGGAUUCUGCACUGCCUGCAGCCCUGGGAGACAGAGCAAGUUCAGAAACCUGGUUUAUGCUAGUUUUACAAAGGAGAAAACAGGAUUGGAGAAAUUAAAUUGGAGAAUUUGUGGCACAUUGACUGAACAAAACACAGUCUUGUUCUUAUGACUCCUUGCCGGUGUGAUGUGGAAUUACACUCUCCUGAGGACAUGUAUACUCCAGUGGAAACAGCCCAUGAACAACAGCCUGGUGUUCCAUAUCUCCAAGGUCUGCCAGAAUUGCUGCUGGGUUGAUUUGGAGGAUUGGCUGGGUUGGGCUAAGGUUAAGCCAAGAAGAUUUUUUUCAAAGUGGCAUUUGGGGGUAACUACGGUAUGUUCCCAAACAACAGAUGAUGAAGACAAAGAGAUGUGAUCGUAAAGGUAUGUGACCUCAAAGGUAUCUAACUUUGGUCUUUUGCCAGAUUCUUAUUUGUCAAAAUAGCCCAGAGAAUGUCAACCAAAGGUCAUGUUGGAAGAAAAAUUACAAUUUGCCAAAUUUUUUUUUAACUUCAGUUUUUUAAGAAGUAGGAAAUAAACAGUGGUUAGACUGCAGGUGUCUUUUUGUUUAAUUGUGAAGACACUUUUAGAAUAUCUUAAAUGCCUUCCAAAAUGUGGUAGUUAAUAUUUAAAGUAUAAAUAUUUAAGCAAAAUAAGAAACUUGCCUAUUGGGCAAAAUGAGAAAUUUUGAACUCUUCAUUUGAGUUCAGAGUGUACCAUCUGUAACUCUGUACCUGAGUUCUUGGCAUGUAGUGGGAGUUCAUAAACAUUUGGCGAGUGAGUGGGGAAGCUAAAAACCAACUGCAUUAUGCAAUCCUGCUAUGCUAUUUCAGUUGGAAGCAGCUAGUUGGUUAUACCUAAUGGGGCCUUAGCAUUGUGAUUCUUUUGCUAUAAAAGUAGAUAGAGUGAGAAGACAGGCACAACUUUAAACUACCUAUUCUCAACAGCAAGAAGACUAUUUUAUUAGAAAUGCGUGUGUGUACUUGUGUUUGUAGGAAAAGCUUACAAUGCAACAGAACCAGCUUUCUGAAAAUUGGCCAUGCAGUCUUUGUAAUCAGUACUUCAUGCGCUUGUCGUCGUUACAGAUGGGUGAGCAGAUAACUCCAAGAUUCUAUAAGGCCACAGUGAUUUAAUGAAACUAAUGGUGGUAUCAUUUUGCAUUUUUCUUGAUUGCAAAGUCAUAUAUUUUUUAAUUGUAGAAAAUAAAAAAGCAGAAAGAAAUGAAAA